rnacentral:lncRNA from 1 species
ACAUCCGCAUUUCUGCCACCUUCAUUUUUUGGAUGUGGGAGUUCUUAACUGGCCAACACUCCGCUCCAUACAACAAGGCCGGACGGACUACCACCCUGUAGAAUUUGCCUUUAAGCUUGGGCGGCACCUUCUUAUCACACAGCACCCCCGACGCGAGUUUCCACUUCAUCCAUCCCGCCCCAAUACGGUGCGAGACAUCCUUGUCAAUCUCACCGUUACUCUGGAUCACGGACCCAAGAUACUUGAACUUAUCCCUCUUACAUACCUCCUGUGCUUCCAGCUUCACUACCACCUCAUUUUCCCGCCUCACGUCAUUAAACUUGCAUUCCACAUACUUUGUCUUGCUUCUACUCACCCUGAACCCUUUAGACUCAAGAGUUUGCCUCCACACCUCUAAUUUGUCAUUCACACCCC